CAACAAAAUUUUAUUCAUUAUUGACUUCCAACAACUCUUUUUUCUGAACCAAAACCCCUUUUAGUAGUACACUACUUACCUUUUUUUUUUUAAUUAAAUAAAUAAAUUUAUUAUUUCAUAUAUUUAAUCAAUGCAUCUUUCUCAUUCCAUUUCCACACCCUUUGCUAUUAAUUAAUCCUCCUUCUUCGAUCUGCUUCUUUCUCAGUUUCAGAGCUCCUCGUCACUCCAAACCAAACCUUACUUUUCUCUCUUGAUAAUCUCUUUCUUCAUUUUUCUUCUGAACCCUAAACU
rnacentral:lncRNA from 1 species